rnacentral:rRNA from 1 species
UACGGGGGGGACGAGCGUUGUUCGGAUUUACUGGGCGUAAAGGGCGUGUAGGCGGACUUUCAAGUCGGAAGUGAAAACCGGAGGCUUAACCUCAGGCUUGCUUACGAUACUGUUGGUCUUGAGUACAGAAGAGGAAAGCGGAAUUCCAGGUGUAGCGGUGAAAUGCGUAGAUAUCUGGAAGAACACCAGUAGCGAAGGCGGCUUUCUGGUCUGAUACUGACGCUAAAGCGCGAAGGCUAGGGGAGCAAACAGG